AUGUGCGGUUUGUUCUCCGAUGGAAAAACGCAAUCCGCGCCCAGAAUGGCUGUCAAUAGCUCGGCGGGUGCAGUGCAGCCGUGCAGCCCCGCCCUGGAAAGCGGUGGCCGCGGACGGAGGGGCCCCGCGUCUCGGCCGCGCCGCCCGAACCCCUCCCGGUUUGCUUUAGGUCCCCUGGGGUCCCUGAGACACCAGCCGGGAAGGCGACGCGCUCGGAGCGCCCCGCGCACGCCGGAAGCGGCCACCACCGCGGAUCCGAGCCGCUCUCGGGCAAGGAGGAAGGCGCCCCGGGCAGGCAGCAACUCACCGGCCACCCCGACGAUCCCAGCCGCGGCCCCAGAGCGGGACCCGCGCAGCCCCGGCCCGCGGACCCGGCCGCACCUCGCAGCGCCGGGCACGGGGAGUGGGCGAGAGGGCGCCCGAGGCGGCGGGCGUCCAGGCUCUGCCCCCGCUGCAGCCCCGCCGCCCGCCUCCGAGCCCACGCCGGGGCCGCCGCCGCCGCCGCCGCCGCCGCCGCCGCCGCCGCCGCCGCCGCCAGGGAAGGUGCGAGCCCGACUGUGCGCGCGGCGACCGGCCGCGGAGCUGAACCUGCGAAGGGCGGGGCGCUCGGGGCGGGGCCGGCGGCGCGGGGGGCGGGCCGGGGCGGGCCGGGCCGGAGGGCGCGCGCGGCCGCGGUACCUGCGCGGGGGCCGGGCGGGGCGCGCGGGGGUCGGUCGCUGCACGCCCGCGCGCCCCCGAGUACAAGGGGCGCCCAUUGUUACCGCGCUGGCGCCGCCCGCAGGGGGGCCGCUUGGGCCCGAGCAGCGGCGCCCCGCUCCCUUGGCACAAAGGGAGGUCGCGGGACGCUUGCUGCAAAGAGCGCCCCCGGGGUGCUGGCUCCCCGGUGCCCGAGGACAAAGGGGCCCCGCCCGCGCCCGGACACCUGCACUACACCUCGCGCCCACCCCUCCCGGUCCGCACGGGCCAGUCGGGCGCGGCGGGCGGGGGACCCUGGAGGAGGCGCGGCCACCCGACCGCGCGGACCCUGCCCAGCCCCGGGGCCCCCGGCCACCCGGGCCCCCGGCUCCAGGGGCAGGUCGUGUUUUGUCGGUUUCUCGCUCGCUCCCUUUGGAGCUGCUGCCAAAACCCGGAGAGCGGAUUGGGCGUCCCGGCGACGCCCGGGGCUGCCCGCUGAGCCAGGGGGCCCGCGAACCGCCGACGCCGCAGGUUUUUCCAGCCCGGGGGAGGGGCUUCCUCUCCCGCGGGGUCCCCAAAGAGACCGGCCUGAAGCCGGGGCCGGCGGGUGGCGGCUGUCCCCGACGCGCGGCGCAAGUGGCGCAGCUGCCGGCCCGGGAGCCUAGAAUUGGGCCCCGGGAGGCACCUGCGCCCGCCGGUCAUCCCGGCGCCCGCCGCGGCGCGCCCCGCCCCUCCGCCCGCAGGCUCGCCCUGGACCCGGUUAAUUAA
rnacentral:lncRNA from 1 species